GUGGGACUGGCUGUUUCAUAGCUACUGAGGUGUGUGUCUGUGGGACUGGCUGUUUCAUAGCUACUGAGGUGUGUGUCUGUGGGACUGGCUGUUUCAUAGCUACUGAGGUGUGUGUCUGUGGGACUGGCUGUUUCAUAGCUACUGAGGUGUGUGUCUGUGGGACUGGCUGUUUCAUAGCUACUGAGGUGUGUGUCUGUGGGACUGGCUGUUUCAUAGCUACUGAGGUGUGUGUCUGUGGGACUGGCUGUUUCAUAGCUACUGAGGUGUGUGUCUGUGGGACUGGCUGUUUCAUAGCUACUGAGGUGUGUGUCUGUGGGACUGGCUGUUUCAUAGCUACUGAGGUGUGUGUCUGUGGGACUGGCCGUUUCAUAGCUACUGAGGUGGGACUGGCCGUUUCAUAGCUACUGAGGUGGGACUGGCCGUUUCAUAGCUACUGAGGUGGGACUGGCCGUUUCAUAGCUACUGAGGUGGGACUGGCCGUUUCAUAGCUACUGAGGUGGGACUGGCCGUUUCAUAGCUACUGAGGUGGGACUGGCCGUUUCAUAGCUACUGAGGUGGGACUGGCCGUUUCAUAGCUACUGAGGUGGGACUGGCCGUUUCAUAGCUACUGAGGUGGGACUGGCCGUUUCAUAGCUACUGAGGUGGGACUGGCCGUUUCAUAGCUACUGAGGUGGGACUGGCCGUUUCAUAGCUACUGAGGUGGGACUGGCCGUUUCAUAGCUACUGAGGUGGGACUGGCCGUUUCAUAGCUACUGAGGUGGGACUGGCCGUUUCAUAGCUACUGAGGUGGGACUGGCCGUUUCAUAGCUACUGAGGUGGGACUGGCCGUUUCAUAGCUACUGAGGUGGGACUGGCCGUUUCAUAGCUACUGAGGUGGGACUGGCCGUUUCAUAGCUACUGAGGUGGGACUGGCCGUUUCAUAGCUACUGAGGUGGGACUGGCCGUUUCAUAGCUACUGAGGUGGGACUGGCCGUUUCAUAGCUACUGAGGUGGGACUGGCCGUUUCAUAGCUACUGAGGUGGGACUGGCCGUUUCAUAGCUACUGAGGUGGGACUGGCCGUUUCAUAGCUACUGAGGUGGGACUGGCCGUUUCAUAGCUACUGAGGUGGGACUGGCCGUUUCAUAGCUACUGAGGUGGGACUGGCCGUUUCAUAGCUACUGAGGUGGGACU